rnacentral:rRNA from 1 species
CUAACAAGGAUUCCCCCAGUAACGGCGAGUGAAGCGGAAGAGCUCAAGCUUAAAAUCUCCAUGUUUUACAUGGCGAAUUGUAGUCUAUUGAGGCUGUUGUCAGCAUAGCGAUUUGGGAUAAGUCCCUUGGAAAAGGGCAGCACAGAGGGUGAUACUCCCGUCUUUGCUCAGAUUGUCUAUGUGUACGAUACGCUUUCUUUGAGUCGAGUUGUUUGGGAAUACAGCUCAAAGUAGGUGGUAAAUUCCAUCUAAAGCUAAAUAUUGGUGCGAGACCGAUAGCGAACAAGUACCGUGAGGGAAAGAUGAAAAGAACUUUGAAAAGAGAGUUAAAGAGUACCUGAAACUGUUGAAAGGGAACCGUAACAUGUCCAGUGUUGUAUCUUGUGCAUAUUUCAUUAGUGGAGUAAUUUACUGGUGCCCUGUGCAUGAGUGUGACGUCAAAGUCAGUUUGUAUGCUGCGGGAGAUGGUUAGCAAGGAGGUGCGUCACUUUGUGUCAGUUAUACCUUGUUAUCUAGUAGCCGUGGUUGAGACUGAGGUGCCUACAACAUGCUUAUAGAGUAUAUUGUUGUCUCGUUAUUAUAUCUGUUUGGAUAGCUUGCUAUGCUGGUGGACUAUAGUGGCGAUUGAUGAUGGUAUUAACUUUUUGCUGUUCGGGACU